rnacentral:lncRNA from 10 species
UUGUGACCCCAUAGCACUCAGCCUCUAAGGAACUGGGGGAGGGACUUGCGCACUAGGGGAUAAACUGCUUGUUAAAACUGUACUGGGUGUGCCUGUCCAUCAAACACGGAUCUUGCAAGACUGUCAUUAAAAGUCUCACUUUCGCUGUUCUCCGGGUCUCUAAGUCCAUUCUUUGGGUUUGAAUGGUCCAAUACAAGUAUUCCCAGCAGUGGUGUCUCAACUAUCAUCUAGACUGCAAACGUCCUGAGAGGAGCCUCAUGUCUUCUUACAACAUCACAUGAAAGGAGCAGGCUAACUUGUUAGCUUCCAGAUAGUGAAGAUCAGAGUGUUGAAAGACAACCUGUGAUGAAUAUACAGAUGGAUAGAAAACUUGGAGCAACGGAAGUGUUGGAAGAAAAAUGGGGCUAAUGUAGGCUAAAGAAAUUAAAUUUGCCAUAAAUCUUCCGUUAAAGCUUCUAAACCAUAAUGAAUUUUCCUUGUGGCAUCUGCCACCUGAAUCCUUCCAUUUAUGUCUGCAUGAACCUUUUUCUGUGUGUCUCAAAGUUCUACCGACUAUUAUGUGUGUUGGGGAUGUGCCUGUGUGUGCCUGAGUUUGUGUGUGUGUGUGUGUGUGUGUGUGUGUGUGUGGUAGUGGUGGUGGUGGUGGAGAUGGUGGGGAGGAUCCAAUUCUUAAAAUGCACCUUUUGUCAUCAUGUAAGAAUAGCUCUGA